rnacentral:rRNA from 1 species
GGGGUCGCGUCCUAUCAGCUUGAUGGCGGGGUAACGGCCCACCAUGGCUUCGACGGGUAGCCGGCCUGAGAGGGCGACCGGCCACAUUGGGACUGAGAUACGGCCCAGACUCCUACGGGAGGCAGCAGUGGGGAAUAUUGCACAAUGGGCGCAAGCCUGAUGCAGCGACGCCGCGUGCGGGAUGACGGCCUUCGGGUUGUAAACCGCUUUUGACUGGGAGCAAGCCCUUCGGGGUGAGUGUACCUUUCGAAUAAGCACCGGCUAACUACGUGCCAGCAGCCGCGGUAAUACGUAGGGUGCAAGCGUUAUCCGGAAUUAUUGGGCGUAAAGGGCUCGUAGGCGGUUCGUCGCGUCCGGUGUGAAAGUCCAUCGCUUAACGGUGGAUCCGCGCCGGGUACGGGCGGG